rnacentral:rRNA from 1 species
AGUGAACGCUGGCGGUAGGCCUAACACAUGCAAGUCGAACGGCAGCACAGUAAGAGCUUGCUCUUACGGGUGGCGAGUGGCGGACGGGUGAGGAAUACAUCGGAAUCUACUUUUUCGUGGGGGAUAACGUAGGGAAACUUACGCUAAUACCGCAUACGACCUACGGGUGAAAGCAGGGGAUCUUCGGACCUUGCGCGAUUGAAUGAGCCGAUGUCGGAUUAGCUAGUUGGCGGGGUAAAGGCCCACCAAGGCGACGGUCCGUAGCUGGUCUGAGGGGAUGAUCAGCCACACUGGAACUGAGGCACGGUCCCGACUCCUACGGGAGGCAGGAGUGGGGAAUAUUGGACAAUGGGGGGAAGCCUGAACCGGCCAUACCGCGUGGGUGAAGAAGGGUUUCGGGUUGGAAAGCCCUUUUUUUUGGGAAGAAAAACAGCAGUUAAAUACCCCGCUGUUCUGACGGUACCCAAAUAAUAAGCACCGGCUAACUUCGUG